UUAUAGAGCCGAUAGGGCAAGGGGAAGUAGUUAGAUUUGAGCUGUCCUAAUGAGACACUGCUCCAGGUUGCUGCCUUCUCCAGAGAAGAGAUCCUAGGAGAGAGGAACUGUGAGAUGAAGAAACAGAGACAAGUUAUUUGGCUGAAAAGAUGUGAAAGUGGGCUGAGCAUCCAGACAGUGUGGCUCUGGAGUCCACGAGCCACAUCCCUCUACAUCGCUGCUAUAAAGGAUAAUUCUCCAGAAAAAAAUAAAUAUUAUUUGGGGCCAAAAGACAACUCAGAGAAACAUUGUUUCAGCUAUGUCAGACAGUAAAGAUUUUGACUAUGAAA